rnacentral:rRNA from 1 species
UACGUAGGGUGCGAGCGUUGUCCGGAAUUAUUGGGCGUAAAGAGCUCGUAGGCGGUCUGUCGCGUCGGUCGUGAAAACUUGGGGCUUAACCCUGAGCUUGCGGUCGAUACGGGCAUGACUGGAGUUCGGCAGGGGAGACUGGAAUUCCUGGUGUAGCGGUGAAAUGCGCAGAUAUCAGGAGGAACACCGGUGGCGAAGGCGGGUCUCUGGGCCGAUACUGACGCUGAGGAGCGAAGGUCAGGGGAGCAAACGGG